rnacentral:rRNA from 1 species
GGCUCAGAUUGAACGCUGGCGGCAUGCCUUACACAUGCAAGUCGAACGGCAGCGCGGGGCAACCUGGCGGCGAGUGGCGAACGGGUGAGUAAUAUAUCGGAACGUGCCCUGGAGUGGGGGAUAACGCAGCGAAAGUUGCGCUAAUACCGCAUACGAUCUAAGGAUGAAAGCAGGGGACCGCAAGGCCUUGUGCUCCUGGAGCGGCCGAUAUCUGAUUAGCUAGUUGGUGGGGUAAAGGCCUACCAAGGCAUCGAUCAGUAGCUGGUCUGAGAGGACGACCAGCCACACUGGAACUGAGACACGGUCCAGACUCCUACGGGAGGCAGCAGUGGGGAAUUUUGGACAAUGGGCGCAAGCCUGAUCCAGCAAUGCCGCGUGAGUGAAGAAGGCCUUCGGGUUGUAAAGCUCUUUUGUCAGGGAAGAAACGGUAUGGGCUAAUAUCCCGUACUAAUGACGGUACCUGAAGAAUAAGCACCGGCUAACUACGUGCCAGCAGCCGCGGUAAUACGUAGGGUGCAAGCGUUAAUCGGAAUUACUGGGCGUAAAGCGUGCGCAGGCGGUUUUGUAAGUCUGUCGUGAAAUCCCCGGGCUCAACCUGG